CUUGUCCGGGGCCUUGGCCCAGGGAGAAAAGCGCUGUUCCGCGUGGGAACGUGUGGAACGUUUACAGCUACCGUAAGAGGGGAGCUGAAGGGUGACCGCCAAGGGUAGUGUGCGCCCCACCUCGGGAAGCUGGGCAGAGAGGAGCCCCGGGGCCCACGGGGGCAUCCUUUACUCAAAGUCCGGGCUCACCCAGGAACAGGACCAGAGACAUUCCCGUACAUCCCAGAACUUUCCGGGGCCUCGUCGGUCUUAUCUCCAAGCUCUGCCAGCCUGCCGUGCUCAUGCACCCAGAGGGAGAUCUGCACCAACCCCUCAGAACAAUAGCUUGCUGAGUGACCCUGAGUCAUCUGGAGCAGGUCACAUUGUGCCAGCCUGUGUAAGACUGCGUGAGUAAUGCCAUUGUGAAAGUUUUCCCUGAAAAAGAAGUGAAAUAGUACUAAAAAUAAUAAUCAUGAAAAGUCAAGCCACUUAGUCAAAAAGAAAGAACUAGAAUGCACCUCAGAGAACUUGAGUCUACCUCCUCACCUGGCAAGUAGAGAAACUGAGGCCUGGAGAGUAGGAAGGUUGUUUGAAGAGCAGAACCGGA
rnacentral:lncRNA from 1 species